rnacentral:rRNA from 1 species
GGUCAGGACGAACGCUGGCGGCGUGCCUAACACAUGCAAGUCGAGCGAGGAGAUUCCUCGGGAUGAUCCUAGCGGCGGACGGGUGAGUAACACGUGGGCAACCUGCCUCAUAGAGAGGAAUAGCCUUCCGAAAGGGAGAUUAAUACCUCAUAACAUUGCAGUUUCGCAUGAAACAGCAAUUAAAGGAGCAAUCCGCUAUGAGAUGGGCCCGCGGCGCAUUAGCUAGUUGGUGAGGUAACGGCUCACCAAGGCGACGAUGCGUAGCCGACCUGAGAGGGUGAUCGGCCACAUUGGGACUGAGACACGGCCCAGACUCCUACGGGAGGCAGCAGUGGGGAAUAUUGCACAAUGGAGGAAACUCUGAUGCAGCGACGCCGCGUGAGCGAAGAAGUAUUUCGGUAUGUAAAGCUCUAUCAGCAAGGAAGAUAAUGACGGUACUUGACUAAGAAGCCCCGGCUAACUACGUGCCAGCAGCUGC